rnacentral:rRNA from 1 species
GGACGACUUCCGGAGACGGAUUUCUUCCAGCAAUGGACCUGCACACAGGUGCUGCAUGGCUGUCGUCAGCUCGUGUCGUGAGAUGUUGGGUUAAGUCCCGCAACGAGCGCAACCCUCGCCUUUAGUUGCCAUCAUUCAGUUGGGCACUCUAAAGGGACUGCCGGUGAUAAGCCGCGAGGAAGGUGGGGAUGACGUCAAGUCCUCAUGGCCCUUACGGGCUGGGCUACACACGUGCUACAAUGGCGGUGACAAUGGGAUGCGAGCCUGCGAGGGUGAGCAAAUCUCCAAAAGCCGUCUCAGUUCGGAUUGCACUCUGCAACUCGAGUGCAUGAAGUUGGAAUCGCUAGUAAUCGUGGAUCAGCAUGCCACGGUGAAUACGUUCCCGGG